rnacentral:rRNA from 1 species
UCCAUGCAGUGAGCGGCAGCGGGAAGUAGCUUGCUACUUUGCCGGCGAGCGGCGGACGGGUGAGUAAUGUCCUGGGAAACUGCCUGAUGGAGGGGGGUAACUACUGGAAACGGUAGCUAAUACCACAUGACGUCGCAAGACCAAAGUGGGGGACCUUCGGGCCUCACGCCAUCGGAUGUACCCAGAUGGGAUUAGCUAGUAGGUG